AGAGUUUGAUCCUGGCUCAGAUUGAACGCUGGCGGCAUGCCUAACACAUGCAAGUCGAACGGCAGCACGAAUAAGUACUUAUACUUAUUGGGUGGCGAGUGGCGCACGGGUGAGUAAUGCGCAGGAAUAUACCUUGAAGAGGGGGAUAACUUGGGGAAACUCAAGCUAAUACCGCAUAUGCUCUGAGGAGCGAAGCUGGGGACCUUAGGGCCUGGCGCUUUGAGAAUAGCCUGCGUCCGAUUAGCUAGUUGGUGGGGUAAAGGCCUACCAAGGCGACGAUCGGUAGCUGGUCUGAGAGGAUGAACAGCCACACUGGGACUGAGACACGGCCCAGACUCCUACGGGAGGCAGCAGUGGGGAAUAUUGGACAAUGGGGGCAACCCUGAUCCAGCAAUGCCGCGUGUGUGAAGAAGGCCUGAGGGCUGUAAAGCACUUUCAGUGGGGAGGAGGGUUAUUAGGUUAAGAGCCAGAUAACUGGACGUUACCCACAGAAGAAGCACCGGCUAACUCCGUGCCAGCAGCCGCCGGUAAUACGGAGGGUGCAAGCGUUAAUCGGAAUGACUGGGCGUAAAGGGUGCGUAGGUGGUUGCUCAAGUUAUUGGUGAAAUCACAGGGGCUUAACCUUGUGUUGACGAAUAAUACUGUGUGACUCGGAGUAUAGGAGAGGGUAGUGGGAAUUUCCCGUGUAGCCGGGUGNAAAUGCGGUAGAGAUCGGGAAGGAACACCAGUUGCGAAGGCGGCUUACUUGGCCUUGGUACUGACCACUGAGGCACCGAAAGCGUGGGGAGCAAACAAGGAUUAGGAUACCCUGGUAGUUCCACCGCUGUUAAACGAUGUCAACUAGUUGUUUUCUCAUGUAAAGAUGGGGGGGUAAACGCAGCUAACGCGAUAAGUUGACCGCCUGGGGAGNAACGGUCGCAAGAUUAAANCUCAAAGGAAUUGACGGGGGGCCCGCACAAGCGGUGGAGGCAUGUGGUUUAAUUCGAUGCAACGCGAAGAACCUUACCUACCCUUGACAUACAGUAAAUUUUGCAGAGAUGCGAAAGUGCCUUAACGGGAAUACUGAUACAGGUGCUGCAUGGCUGUCGUCAGCUCCGUGUCGUGAGAUGUUGGGUUAAGUCCCGUAACGAGCGCAACCCUUAUCAUUAGUUGCCAUCGCGUAGAGGCGGGAACUCUAAUGAGACUGCCGGUGACAAACCGGAGGAAGGCGGGGACGACGUCAAGUCAUCAUGGCCCUUACGGGUAGGGCUACACACGUGCUACAAUGGCUAGUACAGAGGGCAGCGAAUCGGCGACGAGGAGCGAAUCUUUCAAAGCUAGUNGUAGUCCGGAUUGAAGUCUGCAACUCGACUUCAUGAAGUCGGAAUCUUCUAGUAAUCGCAAAUCAGCAUGUUGCGGUGAAUACGUUCCCGGGCCUUAUACACACCGCCCGUCACACCAUGGGAGUGGGCUGCACCAGAAUCAGAUAGUCUAACCGCAAGGGGGACGUUUGCCACGGUGUGGUUUCAUGACUGGGGUGAAGUCGUAACAAGGUAGCCG
rnacentral:rRNA from 1 species